rnacentral:lncRNA from 1 species
GAGAGCAAGAGUCCACUUCAGCUUCCAUCUGAGGUCUCUGUGAGCCCCCAAAGGAGGGGCUGGGAGAGGUGGUCCCCUUAGCUCCCCCUCCCCAGCCAGAACAGAAUCACUGACCCUGAGGCUUGGCCUGGGCUGCAUCUGCUUCCAGCAACUUCCAUGAAGGACGUGACUGUAGACGAGGCCCACUCCUUGCACGGCCAGGGCCCUCAGGGUGCCCAGGGAAGUGAGGGCCAGUGCUGGAAGCUCCAGCCUAGCACUGGGCACCUCCCCGGUGAGUGGCUGUUGGGGGCAGAGCUGCCAGCAGGGAGAGGACAGCUAUGAAAGACGUGGCUCCAGGCCUUGCACUGCCACCUGUCAACUCGGGGCUUUGGGCAGGCUGCUUUUCUCCUUUGGGCCUCAGUUUCCUCAUCUGUGUAGUGGAGACCAACCACGGUACUUCGAAGAAGUUCUGAGGGUACCCCUCACUCAAGCUCCAGGCGUCAGGAAAAGAACAUUCCACGAAGUCCAUCUGGAAGACGGUCCUUUCCCUGCUGCCCCCAGAUACCAGGUGUUUCUGCCACUACCUUUGCCAGAUAUGUACCCUCUGACACCUGCUUCUCUUGUUGGUGGCUUUUGGACACAAGCCUGAUGCUGAUGAGAGAAAAAUCCAGCCAGAAUUGGCAUCUGUCAAGAUAGGCUUUUAGGAGCCACGGCUCCCUAGAGUGGUCUCCACACAUUCUGAUUAUAUGCAAUCUCAUUUUGCCA